GGAACAGGAGCAUCUUCGGCAAACUCUGAUCUCCCUGGGGUAGUCUGGACUCUGUGUGUAUACAGGGGCGACUGUAUGGCUUAUAAUGCGGAAGUCAGCUUUCCUAGUCUCAGGAAGGAUCUCACAGAGGCUACCGGGCCUUUAAGAACAGAGGCCUUAGAAACAGACCUGACUGCACCGGUAACUCGGACGGCUCUGAGGAGCAACCCUGGGCCCUGUUUCUUCUGCAGUUCAUCCACCGAGCGAGGUCCUGCGGCUUCCAGCGAAAACAACCCCUUGCACUGGUUUUGCAAGAAUAAAUAGCUG
rnacentral:lncRNA from 1 species